GGGCUUGUGGUCCAGUGGCUACGACGUCUCCCUCACACGGAGAAGAUCGCCGGUUCAAAUCCGGCCAGGCCCA
rfam:Thermoplasma acidophilum DSM 1728 complete genome